UACAGAGGGAGCAAGCGUUGUUCGGAAUUACUGGGCGUAAAGGGCGCGUAGGCGGUUCGAUAAGUCCCGUGUGAAACCCCUCGGCUCAACUGAGGAAUGGCACGGGAAACUGACGGGCUUGAGUUCGGGAGAGGGAAGCGGAAUUCCGGGUGUAGCGGUGAAAUGCGUAGAUAUCCGGAGGAACACCGGUGGCGAAGGCGGCUUCCUGGACCGACACUGACGCUGAGGCGCGAAAGCCAGGGGAGCGAACGGG
rnacentral:rRNA from 1 species